AGUAUAGAGCAAACUCGUGCAAUGCUCACUUAUGAUGGAUGUGGCUCUUUUCAACAGCGAGUUAGCCAACUCCAGGAUUUGCAGGCUUGUAUGAAAUGGCGUCGUGUGGAAAACGAGAAUUCAGACAUAUGGAAUAUUUUCUGCAAACUGCUGAGUCAGCAGACUAUAAUCUUGGCAAUAAAUUCCAG